AACGAACGCUGGCGGCGUGGAUAAGACAUGCAAGUCGAACGGGAUUUUUUUCUGUAGCAAUACAGGAAAAAGUCUAGUGGCGAACGGGUGCGUAACACGUGAGCAACCUGCCGUGAAGUGGGGGAUAGCUCGCCGAAAGGCGAAUUAAUACCGCAUGUGGCCAAGGAAGACAUCUUCCUGACGCCAAAGCCGGGGCAACCUGGCGCUUCUCGAGGGGCUCGCGGCCUAUCAGCUUGUUGGUGAGGUAACGGCUCACCAAGGCUAUGACGGGUAGCUGGUCUGAGAGGACGACCAGCCACGCUGGAACUGAGACACGGUCCAGACACCUACGGGUGGCAGCAGUCGAGAAUUUUUCACAAUGGGGGAAACCCUGAUGGAGCGACGCCGCGUGGAGGAUGAAGGUUUUCGGAUUGUAAACUCCUGUCAUUAGAGAACAAGGCACACGGUUUAACUGGCCGUGUGUUGAUAGUAUCUGAAGAGGAAGAGACGGCUAACUCUGUGCCAGCCGCCGCCGUAA
rnacentral:rRNA from 1 species